rnacentral:rRNA from 1 species
CCUACGGGUGGCAGCAGUGGGGGAUAUUGCACAAUGGGGGGAACCCUGAUGCAGCGACGCCGCGUGGGUGAAGGAGUGCUUCGGCUCGUAAAGCUCUAUCGGCAGGGAAGAAGCAAGACGGUACCUGACUAAGAAGCCCCGGCCAACUACGUGCCAGCAGCCGCGGUAAUACGUAGGGGGCGAGCGUUAAUCGGAUUCACUGGGUGUAAAGGGAGCGUAGGCGGGCAAGCAAGCCGGGGGUGAAAGGGCGGGGCGCAAACCCGGGACUGCCCUUGGAACUGGAUGGCUGGAGUGCGGGAGGGGCAGGCGGAAUUCCUGGUGUAGCGGUGAAAUGCGUAGAUAUCAGGAGGAACACCAGCGGCGAAGGCGGCCUGCUGGACCGCAACUGACGUUGAGGCGCGAAAGCGUGGGGAGCGAACAGGAUUAGAUACCCGGGUAGUC